UGCCAGCAGCCGCGGUAAUACGAAGGGACCUAGCGUAGUUCGGAAUUACUGGGCUUAAAGAGUUCGUAGGUGGUUGAAAAAGUUAGUGGUGAAAUCCCAGAGCUUAACUCUGGAACUGCCAUUAAAACUUUUCAGCUAGAGUAUGAUAGAGGAAAGCAGAAUUUCUAGUGUAGAGGUGAAAUUCUUAGAUAUUAGAAAGAAUACCAAUUGCGAAGGCAGCUUUCUGGAUCAUUACUGACGUUGAGGGACGAAAGUGUAGGGAGCAAACAGGAUUAGAUA
rnacentral:rRNA from 1 species